AAGAGACCCAGUUUGGGAAUAUUUUAAUGAAGUUCCUCUACCUGUGGGUAAGACAGGCAUGCAUGCAAAAUGCAAACAGUGCAACAAAGAAAUGCAAGGCCAGGUUGCCAGAAUGAAACAAUAUAAUGAGAAGUGUUCCUUCUCAAGAGGAAGCUGUGUUGAAGACGAUGAAAGGAACAUGUCAGAACAUGCAGGAUCUUCAGGAGAAUCCAUCCUCAACAUACAGGAUUCUGAAGACUAUCCACCUUCAAGAUCACCAUAAUUUUCUAUAGUUUCAGAGUUAUCUGCCAAUGAUCGUGUUUCAGUCACAUUAUGUAUAUCACAUAGCCACAGUAUAUCACAUGUAGCAAAAAGAAAAAAAAAUCUCCAUCAUCCAGAAACAACCAUAGAUAAGUUUAUGAUAAGAACCAGCAGAUUACACAAAGAGGGUCAAACUUUAACUGUUGAAGAAGAGGAGUUGCUCUGACAUGGACAUCCAGCAAUCAUCCCUCCAUAAUGCCAACUAUAAUAAACUUCAGAGCUAAGGGUGAUGAUGUUGGAAAGAAAUAUUUUUUCUG